CCAGCCCCGGGAGGCGGGGAGCCAUCUUCCGCCGAGCCGCACCCGGACACGAAAUGGAGGAGGGGGCACCCGCGCUCACGGAGGGUGUGGCGUGCCGCUUACUGCUGGUAGUGCGAGCAUGGUGUCGUCUUAGAAGCUUCCUCAGCCGUGCUGACUUCCCAGCAAUUCUCCAUCUGACUCAGCACUGCAGUGAGUAAUGUAGACUGUGCCUGCUUCAAAUCAGUGUUGUUCAUAGGCAAGCUGGAAAGUACUAUUUUGUCUUAGAAAGUGGUGUGGUUUUUUUUACUCCUAUCUUCACCCAAGGGGAAAAAAAUUAAAUAAAAACCACUGGAAGUUGCACAUUCUCCUUUUAUGCUGUCCUUGUUCUGGGAGAGUGCAUCUUGCAAGAAACUGAAAGAUUAGAUAUUUCCAAAAAA